rnacentral:rRNA from 1 species
AACACAUGCAAGUCGAACGAGACCUUCGGGUCUAGUGGCGCACGGGUGCGUAACGCGUGGGAAUCUGCCCUUGGGUUCGGAAUAACUCGCCGAAAGGCGUGCUAAUACCGGAUGAUGUCGUAAGACCAAAGAUUUAUCGCCCAGGGAUGAGCCCGCGUAAGAUUAGGUAGUUGGUGAGGUAGAGGCUCACCAAGCCGACGAUCUUUAGCUGGUCUGAGAGGAUGAUCAGCCACACUGGGACUGAGACACGGCCCAGACUCCUACGGGAGGCAGCAGUGGGGAAUAUUGGACAAUGGGCGAAAGCCUGAUCCAGCAAUGCCGCGUGAGUGAUGAAGGCCUUAGGGUUGUAAAGCUCUUUUACCCGGGAUGAUAACGACAGUACCGGGAGAAUAAGCUCCGGCUAACUCCGUGCCAGCAGCCGCGGUAAUUC